CUGGGCGUAAGCGCACGCAGGCGGUUUGUUAAGCUAGAUGUGAAAGCCCCGGGCUCAACCUGGGAUGGGCAUUUAAAACUGGCAGACUAGAGUCUUGGAGAGGGGAGUGGAAUUCCAGGUGUAGCGGUGAAAUGCGUAGAUAUCUGGAGGAACAUCAGUGGCGAAGGCGACUCCCUGGCCAAAGACUGACGCUCAUGUGCGAAAGUGUGGGUAGCGAACAGGAUUAGAUACCCUGGUAGUCCACACCGUAAACGCUGUCUACUAGCUGUGUGUGACUUUAAGGCGUGCGUAGCGAAGCUAACGCGAUAAGUAGACCGCCUGGGGAGUACGGCCGCAAGGUUAAAACUCAA
rnacentral:rRNA from 1 species